UUUAGAUCUUUGAGUUCAGCUCAUGAAAAAUGGGGGCAAAAACAAAAGUGUUGUGUUUAUAAUUUUUUUACCUGCUCCCCAUUUUUUCCCCCUUAUUGGUUACUAGCUAAACUCCAAAAACACAAAGCAAACAAACAUGACUGUCCAUUGUUUGCUUGGCUAUAUGUCCAUAAGGCGCUUAAGAGAUACAGAAUGCAGCCAAAAUUCGGACAAAUUGCAAUUUGGCCAAAAUUGAAUGCACAAGUCUAAUGUGCAUUCACUGGCUGAGUGUACCAGCUGAAUAACUUCAAUAAACUGACAUCUGGCUUCACUAUAGUACAGGCAUCCAGCAAGACCCAGAUAAGUGCCAAACCAUGCUAAAGCGGUUUGAUAGCUGUAAUAUACCUUUUAUUGCAAACUUUUUUGGCUUUAACCAAAAAACUUGUAAAAUGCAAAUCAUAU